CCCAGGAGAUCUGGGGCAGCGAGCUGUGCGUCUGGCAGCGCAGGUCCAGCAGCGUGGGCCCCAGGAAGGCGAUGCACAGGCCGAAGCUGAAGAAGACGCUCCAGUAGCUGCCCGUCCCACCCGCGUCCUUGCACGGCCCGCCCGGGGGCGGCGGGGCCUGAGCCCCCAUUGCAGAGCUGGGCGAACUGAGCCCGAGACGUCCUGGAUGCUCGCACAGCCUGGAGAGCGACAGUUUCCCCCCGACUCCAUCCUGGCUUGGGCUCUGCCGUGGAGGAACCCCGGAGCACAGCCCCCUACACAUCGGGGGCUUCACAGAUGGACUCCGAGGGUCUGACAGCGCCCCCAUCUUUCCCUGGAAUAGAAGACAAUCACCUACAUACAUGCUUUUCUUGGGAGAGUAUUCAUGGCUUUCGUUAGCACCUCAAGAGGGUGGCCAUGGAACUGACAAGUCCUGCUUGGACCAGCUUCUGGGGGAGCCAGGGUUCCUGCAUUGGCCUCUGGAUGCAGAGCAAUAAGUUCCAGACUGUCACCUCGGCUCAGGCACUGGUUGUCUCUCACAACCACACUUGCUCCCGCAUCUGCUCCAUCCGCCCUAGACUCUGAGUGCCUAGGAGCAGAGCCUCAGGGUCUCUGUGGCUUGGUGGUUUGGGAGACUUUUAGAACCGUAGAUGGUCAAAGCUGGAAGGAACCAUCUCCAACUUGAGUCUCGUAUUCCCACCCCAUCGCUGCUGAAACUUUUCCGGAAAAAUCCUACCCAAUCCCCGAAUUCCAGCAAGCCCCUGAUCCCCUCCUGGCCCCCUAUAAUCUUCAGGGUCAGCUGUUACACCCAGGGACUGCCGGCUUCCUCUUCCUGCCACCCUGCCUCCCCUGCGGCCAGUUAAACGGGUCACCUCCUCUGGGAAGCUUUCCUUAACCUUCCUAGGGUCCUUCCUUGGGGGUCCAUCCUAAAUCAUUGCUAAACAUCUGUGCAGUGCCUCUCCUCCAAGGAAGGGCCAUGAGCUUGGCUCUUCACUGAGUGCCAGGACUGGCUCUUUGGUGAGAGCUGUUCACCCUCUCCUGACUCCCUGACUCCCGCUUACACCUGAACGUUGAUAAGCAAUCCAUCAACCACCUGGGAUCAAGCUCUGCAUCUGGGCUCCCAGCUCGGCGGGGAGCCUGCUUCUUCUCUUUCUCCCUCGCA